rnacentral:rRNA from 1 species
AGAGUUUGAUCCUGGCUUAGGAUGAACGCUGGCGGCGUGCCUAAUACAUGCAAGUCGUACGAGGGAAGUCCAGCUUGCUGGACGGAACGAGUGGCGAACGGGUGAGUAAUACGUAAGCAACCUGCCUGCAAGGACUGGGAUAACACCUGGAAACGGGCGCUAAUACCGGAUAGGUAACAAAGGGGCAUCCCUAUGUUAUUAAAGGUUAGAAACACAAGCAGAUGGGCUUACGGUGCAUUAGCUAGUUGGUGAGGUAACGGCCCACCAAGGCGAUGAUGCAUAGCCGGCCUGAGAGGGUGAACGGCCACAUUGGGACUGAGACACGGCCCAGACUCCUACGGGAGGCAGCAGUAGGGAAUUUUCGGCAAUGGACGAAAGUCUGACCGAGCAACGCCGCCGUGAGUGAAGAAGGUUUUCGGAUUGUAAAGCUCUGUUGUAAGGGAAGAACAGCACGGAAAGAAUCCGUGAAUGACGGUACCUUACCAGAAAGCCACGGCUAACUACGUGCCAGCCGCCGC